UCAGUAACACGUAGUCAACAUGCCCAAAGGACGUGGAUACCUCGGGAAACUGAGGAUAAACCGCGAUAGGCCAAGGUUUCUGGAAUGAGCCAUGGCCGAAAUCUAUAUGGCCUUUGGAUUGGACUGCGGCCGAUCAGGCUGUUGGUGAGGUAAUGGCCCACCAAACCUGUAACCGGUACGGGCUUUGAGAGAAGGAGCCCGGAGAUGGGCACUGAGACAAGGGCCCAGGCCCUAUGGGGCGCAGCAGGCGCGAAACCUCUGCAAUAGGCGAAAGCUUGACAGGGUUACUCUGAGUGAUGCCCGCUAAGGGUAUCUUUUGGCACCUCUAAAAAUGGUGCAGAAUAAGGGGUGGGCAAGUCUGGUGCCAGCC
rnacentral:rRNA from 1 species